rnacentral:rRNA from 1 species
ACGCUCGACACCUACGGGAAGCAGCAGUAGGGAAUCUUCCACAAUGGGCGCAAGCCUGAUGGAGCAACACCGCGUGAGUGAGGAAGGGUUUCGGCUCGUAAAGCUCUGUUGUUGGAGAAGAACGUGCGUGAGAGUAACUGUUCACGCAGUGACGGUAUCCAACCAGAAAGUCACGGCUAACUACGUGUCAGCAGCCGCGGUAAUCUGAGCGGGCUGGCAAGGC